UACAGAGGUCUCAAGCGUUGUUCGGAUUCAUUGGGCGUAAAGGGUGCGUAGGCGGCGUGGUAAGUCGGGUGUGAAAUCUCGGAGCUUAACUCCGAAACUGCAUUCGAUACUGCGGUGCUUGAGGACUGGAGAGGAGACUGGAAUUCAUGGUGUAGCAGUGAAAUGCGUAGAGAUCAUGAGGAAGACCAGUGGCGAAGGCGGGUCUCUGGACAGUUCCUGACACUGAGGCACGAAGGCCAGGGGAGCAAACGGG
rnacentral:rRNA from 1 species